CAUCGCUGAAAAUGUUUCAUUCCUAGUCGAUUGCAGACGAAUGGGGUCGCAAGGAAAGAGUCGUGGGGAUGACACAUGGCUUCACUUUCGUGUUAUUUUCAUAAAACUUAGGUUUGAAAAAUAUGAAUAAUAUAAUAAUAUGCUUGAUCUAAUGUCAGACUGUGUGAGGCUGAAAGGCAGUCUUACAAAAAUGGAUUUGAGAUUAUCAAUGAGAAAAAUGUGUUAUUAUGCUAUGUAGCAUGAAUAGGGACUUGGUUACUUUACACAAAACUGGAAGGGCCAUUGCAUUACUUCCUCAUCCAUCUUGGCAAUUGGUUUGGUAAAGCGAUCAAUGCCAGGGAAUUUUAGCAAUUAACCUGCAUUUUCAAGAUGUCUUGAAUUCCUCCCACAUAAUUGGUUAAACGAGUGAAAAUGGCCACUUUCUCACUCUGAAGUUUUCCGUCACUGGUUUUCAGAAGGAAGAUAGUGAUUCCAAUCUGAGUGUUGUUGCUUAUUAUUGGACCACCCUCAUCCCCCUGAAAUGAAUCAAACAGCACACAGAUAACAUUCUGAAGGAAAGUACAAUUAAACCUUACCUUUCAAACACUCCAGCCUUCAGUUCUUUCAGCACAGAGGUGAUAUACGAGACGCGGCACCCAAUUUCAAUCGAAAGUCGUUAUGCAAUUUCCGAAACUUCUCCUUCAAAUAAGCCAUCUGUAUCGCAACCAUAUUCCAUAUCCUCUCUUCCCUGUUGCGUGGCCAAAUGCGUAAUAUUUUAGGAAUUAAUCUGGUCUAGCAUCAGACCCGUAAUUGGGAAAAUAGAUUUUUUUUCCUCAGCUGAAAAUACAUUGAACCAGGAAGUGUAGAAGCCAUAGCUGAUCCACAGCUAAACAAACACUGUAGCCAGUAUACUCAUGCCAUUGUACCCUUGCCAGUGCUGAAUAGCAGGGUAAUUUCGAACAAGCUUUCACGUUUUCCAGCUGCACUUUUGUCUGCUGUAAUGCUAAAACCGGAAGACCGCCGUUAUUAUUUUAAACCUUUAACUUCCUUUAUUAGUAUUAUAUACAGGUGUUUGUGCUUUGAUUCAACCUGAUUAUGUGAAAGAGUUGCUUUCUUUGAAAAUGACAAAAAGUCUUAUUGAG